rnacentral:rRNA from 1 species
UACGGGGGGGGGUAAGCGUUGUUCGGAAUUACUGGGCGUAAAGGGCGCGUAGGCGGGAUGGCAAGUCGGUCGUGAAAUCCCUCGGCUCAACUGAGGAUCGUCGAUCGAUACUGCCGUUCUUGAGGAUUGCAGAGGAGACUGGAAUUCCCGGUGUAGCGGUGAAAUGUGUAGAGAUCGGGAGGAACACCGGUGGCGAAGGCGGGUCUCUGGGCAAUUCCUGACGCUGAGGCGCGAAAGCGUGGGGAGCAAACGGG